GGACAGAUGAGUUGAAUAAUACAGGGACAGAUAAGCUAGGCGAGGUUCCCCUUUGAUAUCUCCCAACCUAAAGGUUUAUUCAGAGGUGGGUCUUUCAACCGCCUACUCUUUCGAUGAAGGGUGCACUACAAGACCAUCGGUACUAAAAAGAUAAAAUGGGGGGAUUUCGUUGAUAUUGAGUCGACUAUAAACUACUCAUCUUGCUUGGAACCGUCGUUGUGUAUGGGAAAGAGGGGUUCUACCUAUGCUUGGUAGGGAAAAGGGUGAAUGGUCCCAAAAGGGACGGGAAAAAAGCCACUAGAAAGAACGGGGGGUCAUCCACUCACUCCCCGUCGCUGGGUAGUUUACUUUAUCCGUGACUCUGAGUACAAGAUUUCCGGGAUCAAGAAACUCGCAAACAAAUAUGCUCGGCUGGACUCUUUUCUCGUAUGCCAGGAAAAGAAAAUUUCGGUACAACUCAGCUUGCUGCAAAGCCUUUCUUUCUCGUCCAAACACUCCAGAUCUGCACUUCCCUUUUCUCCAUAGGGCCGAAGCUUGACUAAGAAGGGCUUUUUUUAUAGAGAGAGCGUAAGGGGCGAUCUAUAUUGCUUGCCACAGCUCUAUUCCCGACUCGAAAUCCAUAAAGGAAAUUAAGAGAGGAUGAACAUUCCCGUUCUAUAGGUAGCACUGCCCCUAUUAGAGAAGGGUGAGGGCCGACUUCCGUACUUCUGAUCUGCUAGCACUGUGAAUUACCUUAGACCUACGCAGCAGGAACGAUAUGGAGCACCUACUCUACUGGUUCUUUAACUGCUCUCUCGAGGUCGUCCUUCUCUAGGUACAAAAAGGACAUUACGGGAUAUCUCAAAAAUUCGAUGUACUUCUUCAAGUGUGGGACACAUCUCAUCUUUGCCGAAUCUAAAAACCAUCGCCUUUGCAUCCCAACACUUCACUGCGGCUAUGAUCAGAUCCCAGUGUUGGUUCACUUUUUACUUUAUCCUCCACCAAAUCUUCUGAUCUCCUGUUCUCAAUGAUGUUAAGCAGCUCCUGAUCGCAGCAAUCAUGCCUUCGAAGGUACGCUUUUUUCAUUCUGGGUCUCAAAGAAAGACCUUGGGGAUAGACGAUGGACCCGCCAUUCUACAUGAUGCAGCAUUUUGAAAGAAAAUUCCAUCAAAGGAGUGGACAUUUCUGACAUCUCUUGACACCCUUACUUUUAAUAGGGGGGCCUUGCCUCAUGAUUUUCUUGGCAAGCAUUUGGCUGUUGACGUGUCCUCCGCACCCACUUGAAUGAGCUUGUUCAACAAUGCAAUGUGCGCUCCUUCUUCCUAUUAAGUAAGGAAGGGCGAGUACCCCUUGAAGGACCUUUUGUAAAGGACAUCUCCCAAGAUAACCGUCGGGCAAGUUAUCCUCCAGGCUCUCCUCUGACCACGAGUGGCGUACUCUGAUAUGAACCCGUCCUUGAGGUAAUUGUACAAAUCACACCUCCUACCAUGGUUCCCAUCGUCCUCGUAAUCUUCCUCGUCUUGACUGGUGAUAGUUCAUCAUGUUCCAACUCUCGAUAGUCUUCAUCCAAGAAGAUGAAUGAGUCCCGUUCGACGGAAGGGCUCUCUGUGGCUGGGAUGUCCAAUCUCUCGAUGACAAACAAGCGACUCUGUGCUUCGGUGUACUAGCAUGUGUACUAGAGCGGCUGAGUAUUUAUUCCAUAAGGGCUAGCGAGUCAGCCAAGCGAUUGUAGAUUCUCGGAACAUGGGUGAAGGUGAUCUCCCCAACAAAAAGCGCUUGAUCAGGUCAAUGGCAAGUUCUUUGUACGAUAUGAGUUGGGGCUCUUUGGUCUUCCAUUCUCCCCCCUUACUCACCUCUUAAUCUAUAAAAAAAGCCUUUCCCCUGAUUAUUCUAAUUAUAAUAAGGUAAGCAUCCAGCUCUGGAUUUGAUCCAGAGCUACUGCUUCAACAAUCAACUGAGCUGCAGAAAGGGAUGCCAGGGACAGAGUAACCUCAGGGUUAAUUUCAUGCCCCCCAACUUUAUUAACUUCGCGGUAAACGGAGACUUUCCAAUAGCCAGCAGGUCAAAGCCUUUUUUUUGGGGGGUCCAAGGGUGCCGCCCCCUACUACCCAAUUCCUGUCUUCGGAACUACGGGGAUAGGUGACUUUCUGCGAUGGCCCUCCACCUCGUUGGGAAAAGUUAAAGGAAAUAAAAAGCCCUAAACUAAAUACCAACUAGCAGCUUAUCAACCACCGAACACAGACUCAUGUUGGCGAUGCCAUGGUCAAGUAAGAGAACGACCCAUUCAUCCGAAGUAGUCUUUUAGUAUAGAACAGAGGCAUUCUGAGCCGACUACUACGACUACAUGCGCAUCUAGUGCAGUGGCUUGGAAGCAAGCUACCUUUACCAUCUUCCUAACUUAUCCAGAAUUUACUGAUCAAAGGCAGUAGGGGCGGACUGCUCUACAUUCAGCCACAGUGACCCCCGAAGCGAUCUUCUUCUAGUUGCGGGACGAAAUACGGCACGGCAGCCAAUUGCUGGCUCUGAAUAACCAGCCCGG